AGGACGAACGCUGGCGGCGUGCUUAACACAUGCAAGUCGAACGGACACUUUCGGGUGUUAGUGGCGAACGGGUGAGUAACACGUGGGCAACCUGCCCCUAGCUCUGGGAUAACUCCGGGAAACCGGGGCUAAUACUGGAUAUGACCUUCUCACGCAUGUGGGUUGGUGGAAAGUUUUUCGGCUAGGGAUGGGCCCGCGGCCUAUCAGCUUGUUGGUGGGGUGAUGGCCUACCAAGGCGACGACGGGUAGCCGGCCUGAGAGGGCGACCGGCCACACUGGGACUGAGACACGGCCCAGACUCCUACGGGAGGCAGCAGUGGGGAAUAUUGCGCAAUGGGCGGAAGCCUGACGCAGCGACGCCGCGUGGGGGAUGAAGGCCUUCGGGUUGUAAACCGUCUUUCAGCAGGGACGAAGCGCAAGUGACGGUACCUGCAGAAGAAGCACCGGCCAACUACGCGCCAGCAGCCGC
rnacentral:rRNA from 1 species